AAUCAACGCUGGCGGCGUGCCUAACACAUGCAAGUCGAACGAGAAAGUGGGGGCAACCCUGCGAGUACAGUGGCAGACGGGUGAGUAACACGUGAACAACCUACCCUUGAGUGGGGAAUAACACCGCGAAAGCGGUGCUAAUACCGCAUAACAUCUUCAUAUCGCAUGGAAUGGAGAUCAAAAGCGCAAGUUGCUUGAGGAGGGGUUCGCGUCUGAUUAGCUAGUUGGUGAGGUAACGGCCCACCAAGGCAACGAUCAGUAGCCGGCCUGAGAGGGUGAACGGCCACACUGGAACUGAGACACGGUCCAGACACCUACGGGUGGCUG
rnacentral:rRNA from 1 species